rnacentral:rRNA from 1 species
UACGAAGGGGGCUAGCGUUGCUCGGAAUCACUGGGCGUAAAGCGCACGUAGGCGGCUUCUAAGUCAGGGGUGAAAUCCUGGAGCUCAACUCCAGAACUGCCUUUGAUACUGGAGAGCUUGAGUCCGGAAGAGGUGAGUGGAACUCCGAGUGUAGAGGUGAAAUUCGUAGAUAUUCGGAAGAACACCAGUGGCGAAGGCGGCUCGCUGGACAUGGUAUUGACGCUGAGGUGCGAAAGCGUGGGGAGCAACAGG